CCCCCUGAAAAUAAGCUCUAAUGCAUUUUUGGAGUAAAAAUUAAUAUAAGACCCUGUCUUAUUUUCAGAGAAACACUAUCUACCCAGAACUUGCUGGAUUAUUUGAAUGUAAUUUGCUGAGACAUCUCCUCUUAGCUAGUGUACAAGAGCACAGAACAUUUAAUACCAUGCUCUGUAGAAUGGCAUGUGAGUGAUUAUUGAAAAUACUGCAGGUAUUUUCAAUAAUCACUCACCUUAGUUCACAGUGUAGCCUUUUGUGUUUCCAGGUCCCCUCGGUAUUCUGUAGGCUUAUGGAGACUCCAGCAUCAACUCCUUGGUUCUGCCAUUUCUAAAAUCAAGGCACUUCUAGCCCUUUAUAUCUGAUCCCGUUUGCUGGUAGAAGAUUAAAUAAAUUCACAAUAAUAUAAUAUGAACUAACCCCAAAAGAUUGAGAUUCAUAUGGAAGGCUCCAUUGACAGAAUUUAAGCAUAGCAUGAAUAUUAAGCCAGAAUUGUAACAUGGCUUUAUUUGGCAGGUGGAAGGGACUCUUCUGGAUCCUGGAAGGGAGUUAACCUCAAGGCUGGAGUUGAGGACAGACUUUCUCUUUGGGUACCCCUCUGGAGCUUCAGUCUUUUUUUUGGUAGAAUAAAGACACUGGUGACGGUGAAUUUCAAGUCAUGGACAUGGGAUUGCGGAGGUCAGAUAGGUAUGUUUGUCUUUGUUUUACCAAGGGAGCAUUCCGUUCCAUAGUUGGAUGUCUCAGUAGUGAAAUAUUGUGCUUCCUUUCUUUGUUUUUCAGAAGGAGCCAAUGAGAGAUCCUGAGGAGCUACUGCUACCACAGAGCUUCUUAAGCAUUAGCCUUAGCCAGGGCUAAUUUUCAGGGGGGAGGCAGGUUAUAUUAUUGCUAAAAAAGAUGGUGAAAUGUUGGGAAUAGACACUUUUGACUUUGUCAAAUCAUAAUUCUCCUUGCCCCAUCCCACUUCCAGAGGCAAACAGAAGUAUGGAAUGACUUGAUUUUUCAGUAACAGUGCUGGUAUUGUAUUGUUGGAAGCCAAACUACACAGGUUUCUUCACUGAGCCGUUUACAGGCCAGUGGCAGCAACACAUACAUAACAUCAAGCUUUAAAAUGUUUUGCAAGAAUUUUUAUUUUUAAAUAAAUUCCUUCUGAAAUUCA